GACGUAGGGGGCCAGCGUUGCUCGGAAUUACUGGGCGUAAAGGGUUCGUAGGCGGCGGGGUAAGUCGGGUGUGAAAUCUCAGGGCUCAACCCUGAAACUGCACUUGAUACUGCUCUGCUUGAGGACUGGAGAGGAGACUGGAAUUCACGGUGUAGCAGUGAAAUGCGUAGAUAUCGUGAGGAAGACCAGUGGCGAAGGCGGGUCUCUGGACAGUUCCUGACGCUGAGGCGCGAAGGCCAGGGGAGCAAACGGG
rnacentral:rRNA from 1 species